rnacentral:rRNA from 1 species
UACGUAGGGGGCAAGCGUUGUCCGGAAUCAUUGGGCGUAAAGCGCGUGUAGGCGGCUGAGUAAGUCUGCUCUGAAAGCCCGGGGCUCAACCCCGGGAGGCGGGUGGAUACUGCUCAGCUCGAGUCCGGAAGAGGAGUGUGGAAUUCCUGGUGUAGCGGUGAAAUGCGCAGAUAUCAGGAGGAACACCGGUGGCGAAGGCAGAUCUCUGGGCCGUAACUGACGCUGAGGCGCGAAAGCGUGGGGAGCAAACAGG